UACGGGGGAUGCAAGCGUUAUCCGGAUUUAUUGGGUUUAAAGGGUGCGUAGGCUGUGAGGUAAGUCAGCGGUGAAAUGCCCCCGCUCAACGGGGUGAAGUGCCAUUGAUACUGCCUUGCUGGAAUGCGGAUGCCGUGGGAGGAAUGUGUGGUGUAGCGGUGAAAUGCAUAGAUAUUAGGAGGAACACCAGUGGCGAAGGCGACUUUCUGGACAGUAACUGACGUUGAGGCACGAAAGUGUGGGGAGCAAACAGG
rnacentral:rRNA from 1 species